UACGUAGGUUGCGAGCGUUGUCCGGAAUUAUUGGGCGUAAAGGGCUCGUAGGCGGUUUGUCGCGUCGGGAGUGAAAACAUCGGGCUUAACUCGAUGCUUGCUUUCGAUACGGGCAGACUUGAGGUAUGCAGGGGAGAAUGGAAUUCCUGGUGUAGCGGUGAAAUGCGCAGAUAUCAGGAGGAACACCGGUGGCGAAGGCGGCCAACUGGACGAAUACUGACGCUGAGACUCGAAAGCGUGGGGAGCAAACAGG
rnacentral:rRNA from 1 species